rnacentral:lncRNA from 1 species
AAUCUCCUUCGAUUGUUCCACGUAACUCCUCCAACUGCUUCUCCGAUUCAGUUCCUCUUCCUCCUUCUUAUUCUCACCACGCUUCUCUUUCUCCGCCAAUAUACCUUCUCCGUUCAUCUUCACCGAAGGAAUUCCGUUAUUCGGCGACAUCGCCGUCGUGGUUGUCUCCGGAACUUGGUCAACGGAAAGUGCGAAACGUGGAGGCAUGAUAGGAAUUCGGUUUGGCUUUAAUUUCAGGACUGUGUGAGACGGCUCCUCGCGGCCGUGAACGGGGAAAGAAGCGGCGGGACAUAGAGAAGCUCCGAUGGCCGCCAUGGCAGUUGGUGGAGGCGACUAAGGUACACUGUAAUACGUGUUUGAAAAAGUGGUAUAGAUGAAAAGAUAGAUAAAUCGAAAUGUUGAGCGUCUAGAUUAAAUUAUACGAGAAAAUGAAAAUCUGAA